CCUGAACCAGAACCUAUCAGUUAACCUUCUUCUAAAUUCUUGACCUUUAGAAACUGCAACAUGAACCAUUUGAGAGUAAGUUAAUGAAUGCGCCUCCAUUCCUGAAUACUUUGGUGUGCCUUUCUUGUAACAAGGAUAUUCUCAUAUACAGCUAUCAAAAUCAGGACAUUAACGUUAACAUUCACAUUAUGCUACCAUCUAACUCAGACUCUACUCAAAUUUUACCAUUUGUCUCAAUAAUGUUCUUUAGAGCAAAAAGAUCCAAUCAGAAUCAUGUGUUUCAUUUAGUAGUCAUGUCUCUUUAUUCUCAUUUGUUGUAAUACAAUUCCGCAGGCUUUCUUAGACUUUGACUCUUUUGAAGAUUCCAGUCCAGUUAUUUUGUAGAAUGUUUCUCCAUGUGGGUUUGUCCUGAUUAGAUUUAGAUUCUCCAUCUUUGGCAGAGAUGUCACAAAAAUGGUGCAUGUUCUUCCCACUGCAUCCUCUAAGUUUCAAUUCAAUUUCAAUUUAAACCAUUAUUGAUGAUGUUUACUUUGUUCACCUGAUUAAAAUGAAAUCUGC
rnacentral:lncRNA from 10 species